AUUGAACGCUGGCGGCAGGCCUAACACAUGCAAGUCGAACGAGUGGCGGACGGGUGAGUAAUGUCUGGGAAACUGCCUGAUGGAGGGGGAUAACUACUGGAAACGGUAGCUAAUACCGCAUACCAUCAGAUGUGCCCAGAUGGGAUUAGCUAGUUGGUGGGGUAAAGGCUCACCAAGGCAACGAUCCCUAGCUGGUUUGAGAGGAUGACCAGCAACACGGGAACUGAGACACGGUCCAGACUCAUACGGGAGGCAGCGGUGGGGAAUAUUGCACAAUGGGCGGAAGCCUGAUGCAGCCAUGACGCGUGUAGGAAGAAGGCCUUCGGGUUGUAAAGUACUUUCAGCGGGGAGGCGUUACCCGCAGAAGAAGCACCGGCUAACUCCGUGCCAGCAGCCGCGGUAAUAC
rnacentral:rRNA from 1 species